rnacentral:rRNA from 1 species
UACGAAGGGGGCUAGCGUUGCUCGGAAUCACUGGGCGUAAAGGGUGUGUAGGCGGGUCUUUAAGUCAGGGGUGAAAUCCUGGAGCUCAACUCCAGAACUGCCUUUGAUACUGAGGAUCUUGAGUCCGGGAGAGGUGAGUGGAACUGCGAGUGUAGAGGUGAAAUUCGUAGAUAUUCGCAAGAACACCAGUGGCGAAGGCGGCUCACUGGCCCGGUACUGACGCUGAGGCACGAAAGCGUGGGGAGCAAACAGG